CUCAGUUGAAAAAGAAGUGCAUGGAAAACGUGGGAAGUUUCUGUGAAUCCCUACAGCUGCAAGGAAACGAAUUCUGCCAACAACCCAAGUGAUUUUGGAAGUGGGUCCUUUCCUGGUCAGGCUUUCAGAUGAGGACUCAGCCCUGACAGCCACCAUGAUUGCGGCCUUGUUUUACUCGGGCUUGUGAGCACUGUAGUGUUGGAUGGCGUGAGACCAGAGAGGGAACCGGUGUCUUCCAUUGCCCAGAACCAAUGAUGCUGAAUAUGAUUGUUCUUCUGGACACAACAGAACCGACUCGUGAAUUGCAACACCUCCGGAACCCAAGAAACCGAACCCUAGCAACGAUGAGGAGAACUUCCUCCAUCUUUCAAAAUACCAACAUUUCAAAGGAACUUCACUGUAACUAAACCCGGUGUUUUGAAAAUCAAAGUUACCUUGAGUUUCAAGCAUCAUACAGGUUAACACCAAACGGGCAAAGCAGACGAGAAACAGGCCCUUAGAGAAAUCACUGCCUGCAGAGAUCUGUUUAAAACCUCGAGAUUCGAUUUCUGGUUUGGGAUUUGAGCUGCACUGAGUUGUUUCAGACGAGUGGUCCGGAAGCUGUGAGCACAGCCUGGUGGGCCUGGUCGCUGCUUCUGAGCAAUUCCAACAAUCCUCCUCACUUGAGGCCGUGGGGACCCGCUUCUGCUACUUAAGACACGGGCUUCACGUCGGAGCCCGGAGGCACGGAAGAAUGAACUUGCGUCAUCCAUCAGAAGGCACGGUGCACAAAGCCUCCCAGCGUCUGGAGGGCAUUAUCACUCCAAAUUACUGGAUGUUUUCCACCCUGCACCGGUCUCUGCCCUGCGAGGAGUUCAAACCACAGCUUUGAAUUACAAAUUUAAUAAGAAAACCAACAAUGGGGGGAGAAGUAAGUUGAAGUGAGUGCACAACUUUCUCCUGAGUUAGAAGCCACGCUCUCUUGCUGAUGAGCGGCAUAGUUCCCAUUAACUAAUUAGAUUUGCAUCUGCAAAUGAGGCCAGGGAGUCUAAUGCUGCCUUCCACUGCUCCUUUGAAAUCCUAAAUAGAAGUAUGGACACAGGUUUAGCAACACAAUGAAAAUAAAAUCAAGUUUGAAUGGAAAAAUCCAUUGAUUUUUUUCCUAUGGGCAGAAGUAAAACAAUUUAGUGCUUUUUGAACUCAAGCAACUAUUAGUCUCUGUCCAUUCCAAUUAAAUGUGCAAGGAAGAAAUGAUUCUGUAUGUUAGUGAAAGACUGAGUCAAAUUGAGGGUCAAGGUCCUUUUAGUGGAUAAAACUUAUCAAUAAAUAGACACACGAGGGGAAAAAAGUGCAUUUUUUUUAAUUCAAAGUAAACUCCGCGCUUUUGCUUUGAUGUGGAAUAAGGAUUUUUGUUGUGUUGUUAUAGUUGUUGUAUUUAGGUUUUGUUCCCCUUUUUUUUCUUUUUGGUAGAGGCUCCAUUGAGAUCAAGACCUGAGCUGAGAUCAAGAGCCAGAUGCUAAGUGACUGAGCCUCCCAGGCGCCCCUUUGUUUUACUUUUUAAACGAAUCAAACAACUAGGUUUUACAUUCCACGAGGGCGGGUACCAAAACCCUUUGAGAAACCAACGUCCAAUGUGAGUUUCCUCAAAGGAUGCUGGGAACUGCGGUGGGUUUUCAAACACACGUGCUAUUGUUUCGGGCAGCCAUUUAGUUUGUGUUGUAGGGUCUGAGAAUGAUGGACACCUGGAUGUCUUGGCAUUCUUAAAAGAUGGUGAUCUAUAUGGGAUGGUUGUGGAUUUGGAGAUUUCAGAAAUUUAGAAAAUACAGAAAUUAGGGAUAUGUGCUCUUCCUCUGCCCAAGUCUUGGCUAAAUCUCACCCCAUCUGUGUUUCCUUUCCUUUUGUUGGAUCGGAUCACUGUGUCCCAGCUCUGAGGAGUGUGUCAGUUUCCAAACAGAAAGCACGUGUAGCCUGUCUAUAGUUACUGCGUUCCACCUUCUAACCCUCUGGUUGUAAAUAAUAUUGAUAAAUUGUAUUCCACCCCCUUUCUUCACAGUUCAGUGAGGAAUACUAUUUAUUUGCAGAAAGACCCUGACAACAUUUUUCUGAUAAUCCAAUUUCUAAGCCAAAGGGCUUCCUGCCUUAAUGAAAGAUAAACAUUGCUUAUUGUUCCUAAAUUUUAUGAUAAUCCUAAAAUUACUACUCUCCACACCAAAAAUCAGUCUAUCACUGAGCAUCUAAACCAGUGGCUCUUGACUGGGGCCAAAUUAGUCCUCCUGGGGAAACUUGGCAGCGUGAAGACAUUUUGGGAGUGAUUCUGCAGGUGCUGGAGACCCGGCGUUGCUACGGGCAACCAGCGCACAGAGCCCAGGGAUGCUGAUAAGCAUGUCUCGCUUCAAGGACAGCCCGCACCAGAGAACCCUCUGGCUCUGUGUCAACACUGUUCAGGUUGGAAAACACUGGUUUAAACCAAAUGGUCUACAAUUUAGAAAGAUUUCUCACUUGAGGGAGAAGUGAUUAUGUCAGAGUGGAGAAACAACUCUCUUUCAAUGAGGGGCAAACUAUUUUUACAACAUGCUCGUGUCCGUGGUCAUCGCUGCUCCAAGUCCUGCACUGAUUCCCCGGAGACAUAGAUCAAUUCGUAUUUAUCAGCAGAGAGAAAGCUGGAGCACUCCUCUGCAGAUGGUUCCAAUUCCCAGCACCUUCUUGGCAGCGGGGAGCGCUGGUGAGUGGCCGGACCAGCACUGUGUCAGAACACAACGCUCCAAAUUACAGUGUAGAAGGUGUCCAGAUUGGAUUCUAAAGAUUAGUCUGGGUAAUAGUAAAGGUUCAAUAAUUGAUGGCUUUCACUAAUAGCUCUAAAUUGCAAAUCAAUGUUCUUUGUUCUUUGCUUCCGUAAAUUAAUGUAUUAAGGAGGGGGAAAAAAUCCACACAUAACCCUUGAAAAAUGUUGCAAAAAUCUCAUUCGACUCUUAAGAAACAAAACCAUGCUGUCAUUAAUAUCAGAUAUUUUCAGGAAAUGAAAAACUAAAAAUCAUUAGCUAUUAUAAGGCAACCUGUAUAUUCCUGCCCAAAUGUUAGUGUUUGUUUUCAACCACGAGAUAAUUUUGUGGAUAAGUGUCAGUGCAUAGAAGUGAUAAACAGCUAUUCAACAUGUAUAUACAUAUACAUGUAUAUAUGUAUAUA